UAUCCUUCUAUGGGUUUGGAAAACAAUCCUUGACGUGUCCUUGUUACACGUGUUGCCCUAAAAUCAACUGGUUUGGAGUCAACGACAAUGUUUUCUUGUUAUAUAAACCUAUGAGGACGAUCUUUCAGCUAGACUUUCAAAAUGAAAAUAAAUAACAGUGCUGAAAAUGUUCACUGGAGAUAUAAGGAUGGAAAAGACCUCUGGUCUCAGGUUCGUUGUGAUACCUCACUGCUUAUCUCAGUUGAUGUAAUCCUAUGCUCCAUUGAGAUUGCUUCUCACACACACACUCCUUCUGAUAUAUGUCAUGAUAUAUGGACCAUGUAAAUUUGUUAGUCAUAUGGUCAUGUGUAGUAUUGUGUGAGUAGGUGAGGUUAAUAGAAACCCUAGUGUCCAUGCUUUGUGUGUUUAUGCACCACAUAUCCUAAAACAUUGGGAUUCGUUCUUAUUCUAAUUUUGCUCAAGGUGUUAAAUUUGCUAGUUUUUUUUUUUCAAAUUUAUGCACUUUCUAAGGGGGAGUAAAAUUAAAAAAAUUGGGACACUCACGGGUUUACACUGUUUAAGCCAUUUGCUGCUUUUGUUGGUAUGUGAACCUUGUUUUUGCUAGGAUGGCAGUUGCCUUUUGUAUCUCUUAUGUUGUUUGCAGUUCUAGGAUCUUUUGAGUUUCUAUUAGGACAUCUAGGCUUAUAAGAGGGCUUUGCUUUCGGUUCUGAGAUGGGCUAGGCCUAUUCUCUCAUAGACCCAUGUGAGGGUCAGCUUUUGAGAAAAAGAGGGGGAGACUUCCCACAACCGUUGUGGGAUUGCAAUUCUCAAGACGGUUACGUCCAAUCAUGGCUGCUUUUUGCAUGCCUAUUAAAAACUAGUUUCUCCUUCCACUCCUCCAUCUUCUUCACCAGUCACUUCGCUUCCUCAUUUCUCUCUCACCAAUUCUCAUCUCUAUUUCUUCAUCCUCAUUCUCUCGUAUCCUCUCAUUUCCUCUCCUCCAUUCCUAUGGCUGAACCAAACCAAAACUCUGCUGCAAAAGAAACCGGGUCAGUGACCUCUCCAAUGGUUUCUUCUUCGCUCCGAGCGAAUUCUGAUCCCCUGCUUACUGCUUCUCAAGUGUUGAGAGCCUUCUCCUCCUCUCCGAGUUCUACUCCCAUCUCCUCCGCUGUCGCUACUCCAUCCCGUGUCCCUAU
rnacentral:lncRNA from 1 species